rnacentral:rRNA from 1 species
GACGAACGCUGGCGGCGUGCUUAACACAUGCAAGUCGAACGAUGAAACCUAGCUUGCUAGGUCGAUUAGUGGCGAAUGGGUGAGUAACACGUGAAUAACCUGCUCCUUCCUCUGGGAUAACGCUCCUAAAGGAGUGCUAAUACCGGAGACUCACAGCGAGGCACAUGCCUUCGUGUGGAAGGUUGUCCGGAAAGGGAUGGAGUCGCGGCCUAUCAGCUUGUUGGGGAGGUAACGGCUCCCCAAGGCGACGACGGGUAGCCGGCAUGGGAGGGCGACCGGCCACACUGGGACUGAGACACGGCCCAGACUCCUACGGGAGGCAGCAGUGGGGAAUAUUGCACAAUGGGCGCAAGCCUGAUGCAGCGACGCCGCGUGAGGGAUGAAGGUCUUCGGAUUGUAAACCUCUUUCAGUAGGGACGAAGCGAAAGUGACGGUACCUAAAGAAGAAGCACCGGCUAACUACGUGCCAGCCGCCGCAGUAA